UAAAAAAUAUCUUGGAAGAAAACUGUUAACUAAUUAUAUCUAUUCUUUUGAUGUAAAAAAAAUCUUGCAGUUGAAAUGAAUAUCAAUAUAAAUUGUCACAUAUCUUAUUAAACAUAAUCUUAAUUAUUGUGAGCAGACAUUAUCACAUAUCUUUUCUUUUAUCAUGCAUUUGAUUGUGCCAUUGUUUUUUAUUUAUUUGUUUUUUAUAUCACACAUACUUACACAACCAUAGAUAUGUUUUACCCCCGCCUUAAAGAAAGGGUUGGGGUAUGAAAUAAUACAAUUGUAUGUUUCCUUCACACCUUGAUUUAAAAUUUAAUCAUUCUUAAAAGUUAAAAAAGUAAAAUAAAUUGACAUAUGUGCCAAGAGAAGUCUUGUACCAUUACCAUGCAGUGUAGUAGAAUGACAAGAAUUUAGUUUCUCACUUAAUUAAAGGUGACAUUCUUUAUCCAACCUGUACCUCAGAAAGGUUUCUGUUGAAAAUCUGAAUGUCUUAAUAUAAAAAUUUUUUUAUGGUAAACAAAAGCCAAGGCUUCAACUUUUCGUAAAACAUCACAACAUAAAAGAAGCCAGGGAUGCACUCUUGGGGUUUAAGGAUAAAGAAAACCUGCGGAUUAACUAGAAAAGCAUUUGAAAUUAGUAAAUUGAAAGCCAAGCCUUCACUGCCUACAUUUGAGGCUUGAAAACUUUGCAGAUAUAUUGAAAAAUUUAAUUUUUUCACCGUUCAAAGCUAGCCAAUGCUUAGUAACUGGUAUUUGAAGAUUGAGAAUGUGUAGAUCAUUGAUAGAGAUGAUAAUAUGGAUUACAGCAUAUGUUUAUCAUAUGUUUAUGAAUGACCUGGAAUAAUAUUACGCGCUCUUAACUAUAUACUAAAUUAUAAAAAAAGCUCUCUUACCCUUUGAGAUAUUUGUCUUUUUGACAGUAGAUCUCCACUGAAAACCCCCUCUUUUCAUGUCUCAAUAUAAGUGCUCAUCAGUUUAUUUUUUGUUCUUAUGUCAAUUUUCUAACCAGUGACUAUAAAAAAUGCUCGAAUAAUAGGUCAAAAUAUUUUUACUGCAGAUGUGUUUGUAAAAAGGGUUUAGUGACCUUGACCUCAUUUUUACAUUGUUAUGAUCAGUAUUAAGUGUUUUGUACUACAUGAAGUAUUUUGUCCAUUGAGUAAGCCAAACUAUCAAUGCAUUCUUGUCAACUAUGAAUUCUUUAUAAAUACCCUUGUUUUGAUUUGUUACAGUAGUUCUGACACAUUGAUAGUUACAGAGAAUCAAAGGGCCCAUAAUUGCAUUUAAAAUUCAUUUUAAAAUUUAUGCUCAAGUGGUUGUGAUUUAUCCCUUAUCAGAUCCUCUUCAUAAAAACUUUGAAGAGUACAGUAUUGCAGCAGAUUAUUUACAUUAACCUUAGUGUCCAAGCCUUGCAAAGCUUGAUUAGCAAAUAAAACUGCUUUUUGCACCGUACAUUGAAUCAAAUUAUUGUGUCAAGUGUGUUAAACUCAUUGUUGUGUCUAGCACAAUAUUAUGUACCCAGUCGCUUUUGAUAUACAACUGUUCAAAAUUCCAAAGUAAACACAUUACUGUUAUAUUACACUGUACUCAGUGUGGCUUUUUUUCUUGUUUUAUUCCAAGACAAUCAUGUUUUUUUGUUGUUGAUAAUUUAUUUAUUAGUAUAUUGUAUUUUAAAUGCUUGUUGUUUAUUAUACGACCGCAAAAAAAAUUUGCGUUCGUAUAAUUGUAUGAUGUUGUUGUCUGUGUCGUCGUCUGCGUCUUUGUCUGCGUCGUUGUCUGAGUCGUCCGAAGACACAUUUGGUGUCCGGACAAUAACUUUAGUUUAAGUGAAUGCAUCUCUAUGAAAUUUAAUGAAAAGGUUCAAUACCUCAAAAGGAAGGUUGGGAUUGAUUUUCGGGAUAAUGGUUCAAACCGUUUUGGAAUUAGGGGCCCAAAACAAGUAUUUUUCUACUUUCAGGAUAUCAACUUGUGUAAUAGAAUUUCAAUUGCUCUGAAAUUGUACCACAAUGUUUAAUACCACAGGUAAAAAGUUUGGGGUUAAGGUCCAAAAGGUUUAGGAAUUAGGGGCCAAAAAGGGGGCCCAAAAUAAGCAUUUUUGUAGUUUUCAAACAAUAACUUGUGUUUCAGUGUAUGAAUCUCUCUGAAAUUAUACCACAAGUUUCCAUACCAUGAAGGAAUGGUUAAUUUUGACUUUGGUGGGUUAUGGCUCAAAAUGUUUUGGAAUUAGGGGCAAAAAAGGGGAAAUAUUAGGUUUUUGGUCAAUGGACAAUUUUUAAGCAGUGUUAGGGAGGUAACUCAAAAGUGUUUAACAUACAAUGUGGGGUAUGUUUGGAUUUACCUCCAUUACACUACUUGUAAAUUAUGUAUAAAGAAAUUCCAAAUUUUUGAAAAGUUUGAAGAAGAAAUUUUUAAUUGCACAAUAUUGCGCAAUAGAUUUGUAAGAUCUUGACAUUUGUUUUGUGUCAGAAACUCAAAUUAUGUAAAAAAUUUGAUCACAAUCCAAAUUCAGAGCUGUAUCAAGCUUGAAUGUCGUGUCCAUACUUGCCCCAACUGUUCAGGGUUCGACCUCUGCGGUCGUAUAAAGCUGCGCCCUGCAGAGCACCUGGUUGUUUAUGUGUGUUAUAUUACAUGCAUUCCAAUUUUUUUUUAAAUCAUUAAUUUAAAGAUUUAUAAAUGUUGAUAGAUCCAUUAAUCAUAUCUUCCAUUGAAAAUUUAGAAUUUCAAUAAGAGGGUUUUACAAGACAAUAAAACUAGUGAAUAAAACUAAUAUUCUCCGACAGUUUUGAAUGUUAAAAUUCUUGAAUUUUGCCUACUCUUUUAAAUUAACUUAACAAUAGCAAUCAUGUCACAGGAGAAAAGUCCUUAAUGUCAACUUUUGAGCUAGGUAAUUUCAUGGUGAAAUCUUUGAGAAUGACAUAUUUCUUUAAUCAUUAUAUGAAUGGUUCUUUUAGGGUUUGAAGUGUUGUAUGAAUAGAAAACAUCUCAUUAUACAAGUUAUGAUCAAAUUGACUAUCCUAUUGUUUGUACUUUCCUCAUCAAGCAUACCAGUCAUGUAAUUUAUAUGUAUGAUUCAUAUUGUAUGGUAAUCCAGGGCAAAAGAAAUCCUCCACAUUGUAACAUUUGUUUGAAAAAAAACUUAUACAAAUUGUAUAGCUUUGUAAAAAAUAAUUAGAAAAAGUUUUACAUACUAUUAUUGUAUUGUAUUGAUGGACAUAUCAUUGUCAUAAAAUAUUCAGUAAGCAUGUUUUACAUAUAAUUUAUGAUAUUAAUGGACCUAUUUUAUUUGUUAAUUUUUGUCAGUGACAGUUCAAAUGAAAGUCUGACUUCUCUCAACACAGAACAUUUGGUCUGUGGGGAAUUUGAACGGCUAGGAGAAUUUUAUUUUUGUAUUAUUUGCAAUGAAUAUGUUUUUUUUUAUUAUUUGCAUUGAAUAUGAAUUUUGUAUUAUUUGCAUUGAAUAUGAAUUAGUCAAGUUAAUCAUGUUAAUGGUUUAUAGUAAUUUAUUUGUUCUUUUAUUGGUUAUUAAUGCUUUGCUUUGAAUUCCUUUUUAUCUCCUACCUCUUUGUCUUGUAUAUCUAGUCCUAAUAAAUACUAUCACUAAACUGUAUUAGAAACAAAGUAGUCUAAUAUUUUAUUUUUAUGAACAUUCUCUUUCCACAAAAACCUUUUUCUAUCCAAUCAUAUUCACACAAGUGACAAAGCUGAUAAAUUUGAUAUAAUAAUGAAAGAUGAGUAAAAGGGCAUCGACAAAAUUAAAAAAAUAAUGAAAUAUGAAAUGCAUAUAAAUAAAAAUUGUUAGAAGUGAUAAUGUUAUUGUAUUCUUAAUCUAAAUACAUCUUAAAACAUGGCAAAUGUUAUUUUUCACAUGCGACAUGUUUUGAAUUUAGUAAAUAGGAAUAUUGGAACUAAAGAGGCUUUUCCUAUUUGAAAAAUUAGAUCAAUUUAUUAUACAAGUUUUCCUCUAUGAUAUUUUGU
rnacentral:lncRNA from 1 species